AAAAUCAAAAAAAGUGGCACCGAUAAAAAAACUAAAAAAAAUAAAGUAUAGACUUUACAUGUUACUUUAGAUGGUAAUAUUAUUUAACUUUUUUCUAUGGUAAUCAUAUACUUCUAGAGAUAAUUAUAAAGUAAUUUGAAAUGAUUUUAAUGAGUAUAGGACUUUUUAGAAAAUUUUUAAGAAAGGUGCUAAGCGAUUUGUUGUUCCUGAUAAAAAUUAAGAAUGUUUUAUAAUUAAUAGCCAUACUUGUAAAACUUUGAAAAAAAAAAAAAAUGAUAAAAAUUUGACUAGAAGUACAACAUAAAUGAUAAUUAAAAAAAUUUAAUUCAUUACAAUAAGUUGCUUUUAGCAAAUUUGAAAUUAAAUUUUCGUUUACAUUUUUUAUCCAUACUAUUUCAGCUUCAAUAUCGACAGAUAAGCUGCAACAAAUUAUCAUGAAUGUUUGUAAAUGUUUUAAUUUUAAUUAUUUCUUAUUUUUUCAAGAAACUAAAAAAUCCCAAAAAACUUAAAAAGUCAUCCAAAGAAAUGACAUUGAAAUAUUCAAGUCAUGCCAGUGAUAGUGGACAGUUGCAUGAUGAUAAAUCCAUAGAACCUGAAAAAAUUCCAAUAUCACUAAAUAAUGGAGUGAGAAUUUCCAUACUAAGUACAAAUGCGAUG